rnacentral:rRNA from 1 species
ACGUAGGGACCAAGCGUUGUUCGGAUUUACUGGGCGUAAAGGGCGCGUAGGCGGCUUGACAAGUCACUUGUGAAAUCUCCGGGCUUAACUCGGAACGGCCAAGUGAAACUGUCAUGCUAGAGUGCGGAAGGGGCAAUCGGAAUUCUUGGUGUAGCGGUGAAAUGCGUAGAUAUCAAGAGGAACACCUGAGGUGAAGACGGGUUGCUGGGCCGACACUGACGCUGAUGCGCGAAAGCCAGGGGAGCAAACGGGAUUAGAUACCCCGGUAGUCCUGGCCCUAAACGAUGAAUACUUGGUGUCUGGAGUCUUUAAUGCUCCGGGUGCCGUCGCUAACGUUUUUAGUAUUCCGCCUGGGGAGUACGCUCGCAAGAGUG